AGGGGCCUGCAACGUAAGGACUUUCCAAGAGUAAUCUUUCAAAUUGAGGGGAAAAGUUUAAAGUUGUUUUUUUUUUGUUUUGUUUUUUGUUUUUUUUGUUUUUUGUUUGGUUUUGGUCUGGUUAUGUUUUAAAGUAAUUUCUUAAGACCAAAGGCUUAUGAGAAGAAAUGAUGUAGCCAGAAUCACAACGCUCUUGCAGGGUGUGGGGGGAUGGGGUACCAGUGUCUUGUGCCUCCUUUCAAGGGAAUCCACACCUUCCAAAGCCUGUUGAAGCCCUCAGCUGGCUUCCUAAGCCCACUGUGUGUUUGGGGUUAUUGUUUUGAGUGUAUUCAACCUUUCCUCAGAUGUCACUGAACUGUGCUUAGACUGGCCUUCAGGGCAUUGACCCGUCAACAAAUAGAUAAUGUUUUAGAAAAAGCUUGAAUUCUGUUCAGUGUUUAGCAAUGAUGAAAACUGAAGUUGGAAAAGGUUGUAAAACCUUUGACUCUCCACGGUAGAGUCUGUUGUUUUUCUGGCUUCCUCAAGUCCUCGCUCACAGGGCUAUUGGCUGCAGAUUGCAAUUACCAUGUCUGACUCAGUAAUUCUUCGCAGUGUGAAGAAAUUUGGAGAAGAGAAUUAUGGUUUUGAGUCAGACAGAUUAUAUAACAAUGAUAAGAAUUCAAGGUUACAAGAUGAGAAAAAAGGUGACAGCACUCAAGUUAGCUUCUUUCAAUUGUUUCGAUUUUCUUCAGCGACUGACAUUUGGCUGAUGUUUGUGGGAAGUUUAUGUGCAUUUCUCCAUGGACUAUCCCAUCCAGCCCUGCUCCUCAUUUUUGGCAGAAUGACAGAUAUUUUUAUUGACUAUGACACUGAAUUACAAGAACUCAAGAUCCCUGGAAAAGCAUGUGUAAACAACACCAUAGUAUGGAUCAACAGCUCCCUUAACCAGAAUAUGACAAAUGGAACGCGUUGUGGGUUGCUGGACAUUGAAAGUGAAAUGAUCAAAUUUGCCAGUUACUAUGCUGGAAUCGCUUUGUCAGUACUCAUCACAGGAUAUAUUCAAAUAUGCUUUUGGGUGAUUGCUGCAGCUCAUCAGAUACAGAAUAUGAGAAAAAUUUCCUUUAGGAAAAUAAUGCGAAUGGAAAUGGGAUGGUUUGACUGCAAUUCCGUGGGAGAGCUGAACACAAGACUUUCCGAUGAUAUUAAUAAAGUCAAUGAUGCCAUUGCUGACCAAGUGGCCAUUUUCAUUCAGCGCAUGACCACAAGCAUCAGUGGGUUCCUGUUGGGAUUUUACCAGGGUUGGAAACUGACCUUGGUUAUUAUCUCUGUCAGCCCUCUUAUUGGGAUUGGAGCAGGCAUCAUUGGUCUGAGUUUGUCCAAGUUUACUGACUAUGAAUUGAAGGCCUAUGCCAAAGCAGGGUCAGUGGCUGAUGAAGUCAUUUCAUCUAUGCGAACAGUGGCUGCUUUUGGUGGUGAGAAAAAAGAGGUUGAAAGAUAUGAGAAAAAUCUUGUGUUUGCCCAGCGUUGGGGAAUUAGAAAAGGGAUAGUGAUGGGAUUCUUUACUGGAUUCAUGUGGUGUCUCAUCUUCUUCUCCUAUGCACUGGCCUUCUGGUAUGGCUCCAAACUUGUCCUCGAUGAUGAAGAAUAUACGGCAGGAACCCUCGUCCAGAUUUUCCUCAGUAUCGUAGUAGGAGCUUUAAAUCUUGGCAAUGCAUCUUCUUGUUUGGAAGCCUUUGCAACUGGGCGUGCAGCGGCCACCAGCAUUUUUCAGACAAUAGACCGGAAACCCAUCAUUGACUGCAUGUCAGAGGAUGGUUACAAGUUGGAUCGAAUUAAGGGUGAAAUUGAAUUCCAUAAUGUGACCUUCCAUUAUCCUUCCAGACCAGAGGUGAAGAUUUUGAAUAACCUCAGCAUGGUCAUUAAAUCAGGGGAAAUGACAGCUGUGGUAGGAUCCAGUGGAGCUGGGAAAAGCACAGCAAUACAGCUCAUUCAGCGUUUCUAUGACCCCAGUGAAGGCAUGGUGACUUUGGAUGGCCAUGACAUCCGCUCUCUUAACAUUCAGUGGCUUAGAGCUCAGAUUGGGAUAGUGGAGCAGGAGCCCGUUCUGUUCUCCACCACCAUUGCAGAGAAUAUUCGCUAUGGCAGAGAAGAUGCAACGAUGGAAGAUAUAGUUCUAGCUGCCAAGGCAGCCAAUGCCUACAACUUCAUCAUGGACCUGCCACAGCAAUUUGACACUCUUGUUGGAGAAGGAGGAGGCCAGAUGAGCGGUGGCCAGAAACAAAGAGUGGCCAUUGCCAGAGCCCUUGUCCGAAACCCUAAGAUCCUGCUCUUGGACAUGGCCACCUCGGCACUGGACAAUGAGAGUGAAGCCAUGGUACAAGAGGCACUGAGUAAGAUUCAGUACAGACAUACAAUCAUUUCAGUUGCUCAUCGCCUAUCCACAAUCAGAGCUGCAGAUGUCAUUAUUGGUUUUGAACAUGGUACAGCUGUGGAAAGAGGCACCCAUGAAGAAUUGAUGGAAAGGAAAGGCGUUUACUUCACUCUAGUGACUUUGCAAAGUCAAGGUGAUCAAGCUGCUAAUGGAGAGGGCAUAAAAGGAGAAGAUGAAACUGAAGACAGCUCAUUUGGUGGCAGACAGACCUUUAGCAGAGAGAGCUACCAGGCUAGUUUAAGAGCUUCAAUCCGGCAACGCUCCAAGUCUCAGCUUUCUUACCUGGUACCUGAACCUCCGUUAGCUGUUGUAGAUCAUAAGUCUACUUAUGAAGAAGACAGAAAGGACAAGGAUAUUCCUGUGGAAGAAGAAAUUGAACCUGCCCCAGUUCGGAGGAUUCUGAGAUUGAAUGCUCCAGAAUGGCCCUACAUGCUGGUAGGGGCUGUGGGUGCCUCUGUCAAUGGUUCAGUCACACCUCUCUAUGCCUUUUUAUUCAGCCAGAUUCUUGGGAAGACAAGAAGGUGAAGCUGAACACUCUCAUUUGGGCUGGCAGGACGCUCAUUCAGGCAUCAUGUCUGCGAAAAACUGCACUAUGGCUGCAAAUUUAGUGUUAGAAGAGGGCAAUUUCCCUAUAUGCAAACAAAAUCAGAAUGCAAAGCAGGUUCGUCGAAUAGUACAAAAGGAUUUUAGGGCCGUUUUGAUCUUGCUGAACAGCUGAGGUGCAGAGUUUGGCUUAUAAAAGCAGGUGUUAGUGCAUGUGUAAUUCUCUUCUCUGCUGAUAGCACCAUUGAAAUGGCAAGGUUGGGGAGGAAAGAGGAAAAGGAGGAGAGAAGUACAAUAAGGCACGGAUAAAGAAUGAGCUUAUUUCAAUUUUCACUUCCUUAGGAGUUUUUGUAUUCUCCAUCUGACUUUGUUGCUACAAUAAAAAUUAACAAUAAUUACAAAUAUUAAUUUACACUAAGCACAUUAUAUAUAAUAGUUCACUAAAUUUUCCUAGUUAACCAUCUGAGGUAGGGAUUCUUAUUGUUCCUGUUUUAGCAAAAAAGCAAAUCAAGUUAUACAGAAUUUAGGAUAGCAAGUAAUGGAUCUGGGGUUCAAAUCUGCAGAACCUGGAGAGCCAGGUUCUAACAAAACUUUAUCAUUGCAAAAUUAGUUAUCAAAACGCUGCCAAGUUUCGUUAGUUGAAAUUUAUGCCACCCCCCAAAUCCCGUGAGAUCAACAAGGAGGCAAACCUAGAAUCUAGAUAACUUUUUAAAUUUGUUUAUGGUGAAGUAGGAAUUAAUUAGGUGGUAGGACCAUGAGUAGGAGGCACCUUUUCCAAAGCCUAGCCUCAAGGAUUUGCCAGUAUACCACACAGCCAGAGCUUACUAAGAGUCCUGAGUUUUUCUUUUCCCCCACUAGUCUCUCUCUUGCGGCUUCUCUGGGAGGUCCCGACCAGAAAAAUGUCCCCACAGGCAUGAAUCAUACAGAAAGACCCAGAGAGUCCAUAAACAAAAUCAAGUCAUUUGUGCAGGGAGGGCCUCAGUCGCCCUUUUAAUUUUUAUACUGCCCCCUUGUGGGAAGUGAGGAAAUCAUGUUAAUUUCAGAGAAGUAGGAAACUGGAAACCGAGAACUUCAACUCUGGUAAAUUGAAUUUCUGGUUAUGUAAAACCCUUUAUGAUGAAAAUCCUUUAAAUAAUUAAUUUAUCAUCCUUCGUGUAUGGUAAGUACAAUAUUUUAAAUGCAACAUAAAUGUUCUUUUUUGACUCAACAGAUGUUUGUUGAUCAUCUUCCACAGACACUAUGCUAGAAACUUGGGAUUGCAGUAUCAGUCAUGGUGCCUUCUCUAAUAGAGUUUCUAGUCUAUGAGGAAGACAGACAUUAAACACAAAAAUCUAUUCAUAAUUCAACAAAUAUGUUUUAAUUAUUUAUGGUUUGCCAGACAUUAUUGCUGGGAUUGAGGAUAGACUGAGGAACAAGAAAACCAAAGCCCUUCCCUUCUCUCAUAAAGCUGACAUUCUAGUAGGGAAAGGCUCUGGAAAUGCAUCUCACAGAGUAGUGAUGAGGUUCAGAGGGGUGUGGUGGGUAGGGUUGAAUCUGUAAAGACAUUUGCCCUAGAUGUUUGCUUUUUAAAAUACAUCCAGAAUAACAGCUUCUUUGCUGAUUCUCACUUUCUUAAAAAACAGAGUGAAGAGUGUACUGACUGAGCUUUACCCAAACCCUGUAUAUGAGCUCCUGUGGAAAGAGCCCUGGAUUCCUAACCCAGAGAUCUUUUUUUUUCUGAAACUGGCUCUUCUAGUUACUUAUCAAGCACUGUAUGCCCUGGGGUCAUGCCAUGCCAUUUCUCUGGGCCUUAGAUUCCUCAACUAUAAAAGGAAGGAUUGACAAAAAUGGUUUCUAAGAUAACUGCCAGUUCUAAGAGUCUAUGAAACGGCCAGGUCAGAAAAAACCUGACGAUUCAGCUGUAACACCUGCUCUCUAGAGCAGCUUCCAGUUGUUGGUAGUGACAAUCGUUAUGUGAUUCUUCUGUUCACAACCAGAAAUCCUAGGAAAAACUUGGCUUGAGCAAUAAGGCUUUUCACUUAAGGGCUGCAGUUACCAGAGUAACAGGAUCUGGUUGGUGGAAUCCAAAGUUUGCUCUUGUUUAAUGUUCUCACCGGGUUGUAUUUUCUAAGAGAAUGAUGCUGAACAGAGUACUAUUUUUCCUCUCUGAUGAAGAAGAUCAUUCUGUUUGUCUCUUGCAUAAUUAUCACAUAUUCAUCAGUAGAUUCAUGAUACUUUCAUCUUGCAGGAUAUUAUCAUGAGUCAGAUAAUAGUCUGUUCGUAAUUGCGCUAUUUUCAUUCUGACAUACCUAAAGGGCACAAUACUAACAUUUGGUGUAUUGAGACCACAGUUUGGGACACAGACCCAGCAAACGAUUGGACACUAUUAGGAUCCUGGUCUCUAGUCUAGUGAUGCAUCAAUACACACAUAAAACAUAAUGUGUCUGAUUCACUUUCCAUGGGUCUAUUUGACUUGGAAAGUGUGCAUGUGUUCCAAGCACAGCAAUGUGGACGUAGCAUGCUGGGAAAAAGCACGAGUUUUGGAGUCAGUCAGCCCUGGAUUCGUAUUAAGUCUCUGCUCUGUAUUCUCUGUGUGCAUUUAGGCAAGUGGCUUUUCCUUGAUGAGUCUUAGUUUCCUCAUCUGUAAUUUGGGACAAGAAAAUCUACCUCACUGGGUUGUUUUAAGAAGCCUAAUUUAAGGAAAUCUUCACUGAAGUUAAAAUAGGUUAAGUUACACAUUUGGCACCUGGUAAAUAGCAAGAGUUUAAUGAAUAUCUGUUUUCUCCUUAAACAAACUCACCAUUGUAAAAAUGGCACAGAUGUAUUAUAAAGGAGCCUACGGAUGGGUAGCCUUUUGGGUUGAUUUCAACAAGAAAAAAACUCAACAACAAAGAACUCAUGGAGUAGAAUUUUGUGAAAAGAAGUUAUGGAUAGAGAGAUGCCCACUUUUGAACUGGACACUUGUGUGGAUUUAACAUCAGCCAAACACUCUUUUUUUUUUAACCCAGACAAGAUGAGUCAUGCCAAGAGCCAAGAGAGCUGGCAAGAAGAAAAUCACUGGAAUCUGAAAAAAUAGGCCUUUCCUUACCUAAUAAUAACCACUAGCUAAAUGAACUUGGACAGAAGUUUUGAUGUUUGGGGCUCUGGUUUACCAUCUCUAGAAUAAGAGUUAAACUGGCUAAUCUGCACUUCUAUAGUCCUUUUGUCCAUGAUUAUAAUAGGUGACAUGAGGAAGGAAUGGAAAUGUGGCAUCACUGUUUGGGGUUUGGGGGAUGUGUAUAAUGAUUUUAAAAACCAAACUGCAACAUGUCUUUAAACCCCUAAAUUUAUAAACUCUGUAAAGUAAACAUAUGAGUUAUUCAAUGCUGGGGAGAAUGACCUUGGAAUCUUCCAAACCCACUUCCACCUGUAUUAAGAACAUGAAGACCCUAGAAAUUAUCCUAGAAACAGUAAAUUUUAUUAAUCUGGAACUCCCCUCUCCACUUUGGAAUUUGAUUAUUUGAAUAGGUUACUUUUGCUUUGCAAAAAAGGAUUUGUUAAUGGAGUAGUAUACAUUGUUUUCAAGAGAUUUAUUUGGUAUAUAACAGGCACUCAAUAAAUAUGUAUUGCAUAAACGAUUUCUUUUGAGCAACUGCUUGUUAGCAUUGUUCUAGCGACUUAAAUUAAUUUAGAACGAUAAAUAAAGUUCUCUAAUGUGUA